UGUCCAAGGAUGGGAAUCGAACCCACAAUGUUCCGCUUACCGGGCAGAUGCCAUGUCCAUAAGAUUAAAGUACCAGGCUUUACAGGGAU